CCCUUAGAUGUCCUGGGCCGCACGCGCGCUACACUGACACGAGCAGCGAGCUUCUUCCUGUUCCGAAAGGAUUGGGGAAUCUUGUAAAUCGUGUCGUGUCGGGGAUCGAUUAUUGUAAUUAUUAGUCGUGAACAAGGAAUUCCUAGUAAGCGCAAGUCACUAGCUUGCGCUGAUUACGUCCCUGCCCUUUGUACACACCGCCCGUCGCUCCUACCGAUCGAAGAGUUAGGUGAAUUGUUUUGAUCGAUAAGAUUUGACUAUGGUCAACUCUCGUUGUGAAAUUCUGUGAAUCUGACUGUUUAGAGGAAGGAAAAGUCGUAACA
rnacentral:rRNA from 1 species